AUGCUCUCUGGUCAGCACAUAUACUAAAAUUGGAACAAUACAGAGAUUAGCAUGGCCUCUGCACAAGGAACUAUACUAAAUAAAAGAGAACUCAGAGGGAUUCUU
ensembl:snRNA U6 U6 spliceosomal RNA